UCCGUAGGGUGCGAUCGUUAAUCGGAAUUACUGGGCGUAAAGCGUGCGCAGGCGGCUCUUCAAGUCAGGUGUGAAAGCCCCGGGCUUAACCUGGGAAUUGCGCUUGAAACUGAGGGGCUAGAGUGUGGCAGAGGGAGGUGGAAUUCCUGGUGUAGCGGUGAAAUGCGUAGAUAUCAGGAGGAACACCGAUGGCGAAGGCAGCCUCCUGGGCCAACACUGACGCUCAGGCACGAAAGCGUGGGGAGAAAACAGG
rnacentral:rRNA from 1 species